UACGUAGGGUGCGAGCGUUGUCCGGAAUUACUGGGCGUAAAGAGCUCGUAGGUGGUUUGUCGCGUUGUUCGUGAAAACUCACAGCUCAACUGUGGGCGUGCGGGCGAUACGGGCAGACUGGAGUACUGCAGGGGAGACUGGAAUUCCUGGUGUAGCGGUGGAAUGCGCAGAUAUCAGGAAGAACACCGGUGGCGAAGGCGGCGCUCUGGACCGAGACUGACGCUGAGGCGCGAAAGCGUGGGGAGCAAACAGG
rnacentral:rRNA from 1 species